GACGAACGCUGGCGGCGUGCUUAACACAUGCAAGUCGAACGGAAAGGCCCUGCUUUUGUGGGGUGCUCGAGUGGCGAACGGGUGAGUAACACGUGAGUAACCUGCCCUUGACUUUGGGAUAACUUCAGGAAACUGGGGCUAAUACCGGAUAGGAGCUCCUGCUGCAUGGUGGGGUUUGGAACGUUUCGGCGGUUGGGGAUUGACUCGCGGCUUAUCAGCUUGUUGGUGGGGUAGUUGCUUACCAAGGCUUUGACGGGUAGCCGGCCUGAGAGGGUUACCGGCCACAUGGGGACUGAGAGAGGGACCAGACUGCAACGGGAGGCAGCAGUGGGAAAUAUUGCACAAUGGGCGGAAGCCUGAUGCAGAAACGCCGCGUGCGGGAUGACGGCCUUCGGGUUGUAAACCGCUUUCGCCUGUGACGAAGCGUGAGUGACGGUAAUGGGUAAAGAAGCACCGGCUAACUACGUG
rnacentral:rRNA from 1 species